rnacentral:rRNA from 1 species
GUGGGGAAUAUUGGACAAUGGGGGGAACCCUGAUCCAGCCAUGCCGCGUGUGUGAAGAAGGCCUUUUGGUUGUAAAGCACUUUAAGCGAGGAGGAGGCUACCGAGAUUAAUACUCUUGGAUAGUGGACGUUACUCGCAGAAUAAGCACCGGCUAACUCUGUGCCAGCAGCCGCGGUAAUACAGAGGGUGCAAGCGUUAAUCGGAUUUACUGGGCGUAAAGCGCGCGUAGGUGGCCUAUUAAGUCAAAUGUGAAAUCCCCGAGCUUAACUUGGGAAUUGCAUUCGAUACUGGUUGGCUAGAGUAUGGGAGAGGAUGGUAGAAUUCCAGGUGUAGCGGUGAAAUGCGUAGAGAUCUGGAGGAAUACCGAUGGCGAAGGCAGCCAUCUGGCCUAAUACUGACACUGAGGUGCGAAAGCAUGGGGAGCAAACAGGAUUAGAAACCCGAGUAGUCC